AACCCCCAUAGUGUUUAAGCACAGUAAAUUUUCAUUUUACAAGAACAUAUUUAUGUUGGGUGU
rnacentral:tRNA from 1 species